CCUACGGGGGGCAGCAGUGAGGAAUAUUGGUCAAUGGGAGGAAUCCUGAACCAGCCAUGCCGCGUGCAGGACGACGGCUCUACGAGUUGUAAACUGCUUUUGUACCGGGGUAAAAUGCCUUACGAGUAGGGUUUUGAAAGUACGGUACGAAUAAGGAUCGGCUAACUCCGUGCCAGCAGCCGCGGUAAUACGGAGGAUCCGAGCGUUAUCCGGAUUCAUUGGGUUUAAAGGGUGCGUAGGUUGUUUUAUAAGUUAGCGGUGAAAUACCGAUGCUCAACAUCGGGGCUGCCGCUAAUACUGUAGGA
rnacentral:rRNA from 1 species